AAUAUUUAUUAUAAAACAGGUGUCGGUAGUAAUCAAAUGGAUUACAAGCCGGUGAAAAGGGAAGUUGGGUGAAAGUCCCACGCGGUCCCGCCGCUGUAAGAGAAGAGUUCCUCUAAGAAUGCCACCAUAAUUGGGAAGGCAGGAGAGAACGUUGACGCUUGAGCCAGAAGACCUGCCUGCUUUAAUAACUCAAA
rnacentral:ncRNA from 2 species